UACAGAGGGGGCAAGCGUUGUUCGGAAUUACUGGGCGUAAAGGGCGCGUAGGCGGCCUUCUAAGUCGAACGUGAAAUCCCCGGGCUCAACCCGGGAACUGCGUCCGAUACUGGAAGGCUUGAAUCCGGGAGAGGGAUGUGGAAUUCCAGGUGUAGCGGUGAAAUGCGUAGAUAUCUGGAGGAACAUCGGUGGCGAAGGCGGCAUCCUGGACCGGUAUUGACGCUGAGGCGCGAAAGCCAGGGAGCAAAGCAGG
rnacentral:rRNA from 1 species